AGGCAUGUAGCUCAGUUGGUUAGAGCACCACCUUGACAUGGUGGGGGUCGUUGGUUCGAAUCCAAUCAUGCCUACCA
rnacentral:tRNA from 4 species